rnacentral:rRNA from 1 species
AUUGAACGCUGGCGGCAUGCCUUACACAUGCAAGUCGAACGGCAGCACGGGAGCAAUCCUGGUGGCGAGUGGCGAACGGGUGAGUAAAGUAUCGGAACGUGCCCAGUCGUGGGGGAUAACGUAGCGAAAGUUACGCUAAUACCGCAUACGAUCUAUGGAUGAAAGCGGGGGAUCGCAAGACCUCGAGCGAUUGGAGCGGCGGAAAUCAGAUUAGGUGGUUGGUGGGGUAAAGGCUCAACAAGCCGACGAUCUGUAGCUGGUGUGAGAGGACGACCAGCCACACUGGGACUGAGACACGGCCCAGACUCCUACGGGAGGCAGCAGUGGGGAAUUUUGGACAAUGGGCGCAAGCCUGAUCCAGCCAUGCCGCGUGCAGGAUGAAGGCCUUCGGGUUGUAAACUGCUUUUGUACGGAACGAAAAGGUUUGACUUAAUACGUUGGACUCAUGACGGUACCGUAAGAAUAAGCACCGGCUAACUACGUGCCAGCCGCCGCAGUAA